rnacentral:rRNA from 1 species
UGGGGAAUCUUAGACAAUGGGGGAAACCCUGAUCUAGCCAUGCCGCGUGAGUGACGAAGGCCUUAGGGUCGUAAAGCUCUUUCGCUGGGGAAGAUAAUGACGGUACCCAGUAAAGAAACCCCGGCUAACUCCGUGCCAGCAGCCGCGGUAAUACGGAGGGGGUUAGCGUUGUUCGGAAUUACUGGGCGUAAAGCGCACGUAGGCGGGCUGUUAAGUCGGGGGUGAAAUCCCGGGGCUCAACCCCGGAACUGCCUUCGAUACUGGCAGCCUUGAGUUCGAGAGAGGUGAGUGGAAUUCCGAGUGUAGAGGUGAAAUUCGUAGAUAUUCGGAGGAACACCAGUGGCGAAGGCGGCUCACUGGCUCGAUACUGACGCUGAGGUGCGAAAGCGUGGGGAGCAAA